CCUGGGAUUGAACCCACAUCUCUUGGACUGGCAGGCAGGUUCUUUAUCACUGAGCCACUUGGGGAGCCAGUAUGUAUGGGUAUACUGUCCCCUUACUGAUGGAUCCACACGGCUCUUAGAUAGCGUUGCCAGGUAUACAUUUUGCUCUCCUUUUAUUGUCAACCUAAUUAUCCCAUUGUUUUCUGGCCUCUAUCUGUUAUUGGGAAUUUUGCUCUCAGUUCUUUAAGAAGAAUGCCUUUCUUCUCUAGUUUUAAAAAGAGUAUUUUUUCUUUGUUGUUUAUGGAUUUAUAGGAUGAUAUCUAGGCUGGUUAAGUUUUUAUUAAUCUUUCUUGGAACGUGCACACUUUUGGUUUCAGGAUCACAAGUGUCAUAGAUUUGGAGCGUUCUUAGCCCUUCUUCCCUUUCUCUCUGUUCUUUCCUUGGAACUCCAGCCAGCUCUGUGUCUGACCUUCAGUUUCUGUCCUCAAAUCUCCUAGCCUUUCCUCGCUCUGUCUCUGGCUACAGUCAAUGCCAUUCUUUUCAGCCUGCCUCUAUUGUAUGAAUUGUAUUGAAUUGUUCUUAGUUUCAAUUAUUAUCAUUACGUUUUACUCAUAGAUAUUUUGUCUGUUUCUUAUUUAUCACGGGUUAUGACUUUAUCCUUACACAUCUUAGUGGACCUAUUAUAUGUUGCUGGUGUUUCUGACUUCAGAACUUUGCAGGUGGGGCUCAGCCGGCUUUGCUCUGUUUGCCCUUUUCCCAGGGGCCCUGUAGUUUCUCGUCCUGCACUCAUGACCAACAGCCCUUUACAUGUGGGAGCUCUUUGCUCAUUCAGAUAGUGGACUCCUGCCCGGCUCUGUUACCGCUUUUGAAGAGUCUCAGCUGAUGUUUACGAAGAAUGCCUGCUAACAAACAGAGGAGGAGUGAUAGAAAAAAAAACCACCGGGGGAUGCUGACCACCACUGGAUAAACUAGGGGCAGAAACAGGCUAUUCACAGACUCAGAGUCUCAGUCCAGAGGUUACAGAUGCACAAUGUGCCUUCGUGAUGGAGCGAUGUGCAGGCGACACCUGGACCGAGAGCUGUCACCGAACACACGGGGGGUCAUCCUGUCCCCACACCACACGUGGCCACACAUUUAAAGGGCUGCUGCUUGUCGUCUGCAUAGAACUUUCUGUUUCUAUUGGGGGGUUUUCAAGUAAUCUGGUUUUGUCAGUAGAACUGGAAGUUCCUUAAGCUAUCAUUUUUGGCUUAAAGUAAAACUUCUUUAUCCUAUAAAUUGGCAGAAAGGACCUCCCUGGAUAUGUUUUAAACUUUUUAAACUUCUUCUAGAGUCAAAAGAGAAAACCAUUAACCUAAAAAACACAUUCUUUCUUAAAUUAAAAGAUAAUCUACACAUAUUCAGUUUAGUAAAAAGCAAUUGCAGUGGCAUACAGAAAUAGUAGAACUUGAGCAAAUCUUGCUCUGGAAAUCUAGAAAUCCAGAAACGAACUAGUUUGAGCUUCUAUGGCAGGAGCCCCGUCCCGUUCACCUGGGGCCUCCCGUGCUGGUCUGAGGACUCACAUGAUGGGAGUCUGACUUGGUUACGGCUGUUAAACCACUGCUUCAGCCUCCUCCUCUCCUGAGGCCUUGGUCAAUCCGCCCCCGUGGGCUGAGGCUUGGGGGCCCUGGGACACCCUCCUGCUGGCCAUCCUAGCCAACCCCCCACAAAGGGCUCUCCUAACCGUCUGUGUCUGCGACUGCCCAGCCCUUUCUUGGCCUGGGGUGCGGGGCCCCUGCCUGCAGCCAGAAGUAAAGCCAAGAAGGCCUCUGGUCACCCGGCUCUGUGGACUGCCCGCCUGGGCCCUGGAUCUGCUGUCAAUUUGUCAAUCUGUUCUUUUCAAAAUACUUCCAGCGAACAGCGGGGACCUGAGCUUGGGGUAAGACCCUGGGCAAAGAGCUCGGCCCAACUUCCUGGGGAUCUGGGCCCACACUGGCAACACCUCUGUGUUCCCUGGGGACUUGCUUAGAUGGGUGGAGGUGGCGGCCUGGCCCCCUGCAGGGAGGGAUAGAGCUGGAGUUUGCUCAGGGGAUCCCAGGUGAACCCCUCGGAAGGCCUCCUGGGAUCCAGGGACAGAGGCUUUGGGAAAGCCUGGGAUGAGGGGUGGAAAGUAAUUUUCUCCCUCCUAUCUUUGAGAAAAAUGUUAUUUCUGCAUUAGCAGGAGCAAGCGGCCAGUGCAUCCCCCUCCUGGCCACUUGUUCUGUCCUCCCCCACGGGGGCUGAGCUGACGGGAAGGACCCCAGGCAGGUGGCUCACCAACCUUGAUCUCUACUCCUGUGUGCUGGCCCGGGGGGCUCCCUACAGGUGCUUCUUCCACCUGCGUCCUGAAGCCUGGACCUGUGCCUGCGGAGGAGGCUGGGGAGCAGCUCCUCUCUGGUCCUGCUCCUUGGUUCCCUUGAAAUAGGACCUGCUUAAGAGCAUCACCCCCCACUGAAAAGCGUUGGCUAAAAGAUAGAGCCUGGUGGCCAUUCCUGGUCUAGAGUGUACCUAGAAUUCCGAUGGGAUAAAAGUGAAAAGGAACUUCCCUGGUGGUCCAGCGUCUAAGACUGCACACCC